GCAGAUUGUGCUUUUGGCGAGGCGCCUUCCGAGUUCCCUGGAACGGGACGCCACAGAGGGUGAGAGCCCCGUCUGGUCGGCCGCCGAGCCUCUGUAAAGCACCUUCGACGAGUCGAGUAGUUUGGGAAUGCUGCUCAAAAUGGGAGGUAUAUGUCUUCUAAAGCUAAAUACCGGCCAGAGACCGAUAGCGCACAAGUAGAGUGAUCGAAAGAUGAAAAGCACCUUGAAAAGGGGGUUAAACAGUACGUGAAAUUGUUGAAAGGGAAGCGCUCGCGACCAGACUUGGGCCCGGCGGAUCACCCAGCGUUCUCGCUGGGGCAUUCCGCCUCGUCCCAGGCCAGCAUCGGUUCGCGCCGGGGGACAAAGGCGGCGGGAACGUGGCUCCCCCGGGAGUGUUAUAGCCCGCCGCGCAAUGCCCUGGGGCGGACCGAGGACCCGCGCAUCUGCAUGGAUGCUGGCGUAAUGGUCACCAGCGACCCGUCUUGAAACACGGACCAAGGAGUCGUCUUCGUAUGCGAGUGUUCGGGUGUCAAACCCCUACGCGUAAUGAAAGUGAACGCAGGUGAGAGCUUCGGCGCAUCAUCGACCGAUCCUGAUGUUCUCGGAUGGAUUUGAGUAGGAGCAUACGGGGCCGGACCCGAAAGAAGGUGAACUAUGCCUGUGUAGGGUGAAGCCAGAGGAAACUCUGGUGGAGGCUCGCAGCGGUUCUGACGUGCAAAUCGAUCGUCA
rnacentral:rRNA from 1 species